GGUUAAGCUAAGAAGGGUGCAUGGCGGAUGCCUUGGCGUCCAGAGCCGAUGAAAGACGUGGCCUAGCUGCGAAAAGCCACGGGGAGCCGCUAAGCAGGCUUUGAUCCGUGGAUGUCUGAAUGGGGAAACCCCCCUGAAUUGAUCUUCAGGGAGCGCGGAAGCGCGGGCAACGCAGGGAACUGAAACAUCUAAGUACCUGCAGGAAAGGAAAGAAACCUCUACUCCCUCAGUAGCGGCGAGCGAACGGGGAAGAGCCUAAACCUGUGCAAUGUAAGGCUGAGGCCGUUGUUGCAUGGGUGUUGUGGGACCUACAGAGCCGACCUCAGAAGGCUCAGUGAGUUACAAAAUCACUUGCUAGAAGAAUGGCAUGGGAAGGCCAGCCGCAGAGGGUGACAGCCCCGUAAUCGAAAGCGAGUGAUCUCACGUAGUCAUCCCGAGUAGCGCCAGACACGGGAAACCUGGUGUGAAUCCGGGGGGACCACCCCCCAAGGCUAAGUACUCCUGGACGACCGAUAGCGUAAUAGUAGCGCGAGCGAAAGGUGAAAAGGACUCCGUUGAGGAGAGUGAAAUAGAACCUGAAACCAUGUACCUACGAGCUGUCGAAG
rnacentral:rRNA from 1 species